rnacentral:lncRNA from 1 species
CAUCAAUAAAUGGAAACCCAUCUUCUCAUGUCUGAUGCAUGACGAAUGCAAACGCAAAACACUGAUUAGCAACUCGUAAAACUUCAGGGCGAAUGUGACGGAAGGCCUUCUACUACGACCAAGCUACGCCGUCCCCGGAAACCAACACGUACAGGACCAGAUCUAGGAGGUAACCAAACCAGGAUCAAGGACCUUGAAGUCUUCGAAGCAUACCUGCUGGGCAUCAUUCCCGGGCUAAAGUUCCGUAAGUCCGCUUGCUCCUUCCAACGCAAGCAGAGAGGUAAUAUGCAAGGAAUGGUGGAAGUUAUCAGUUCUAGUUUUCAAAAUUCUCCAUUUAAAUUAAAUGUCUUUUUCAAGUGAU